AAAAAUUGAAAUGACUCCAUUAACCAUUGAGGAUCAUAAACAUAAAUCAUCAUGGUAGACAAAACAACAAUUAAUCUAAACCUAGAAUUAACAAAAACACAAAAUGUCAAAUCUUAUUCUUUUAUCUCCUUCACAAACUUCUUAAGGUUCUCAUAAGAUGUACCUCCUUUUGCUAUGUUGUUCAUCACUUUCUCCUUCAACACCACACACCUAAAUUUCAUGCUCUCAUCAUUACAUAAUUGUUCAACCUUGGUUUUCAACUCUCCGCGUGACACAACUCCAUUUUGAUCUUUGUCAAUUCCCAACCCAACCUUUAACUCAUCACAAAUAUGUGUUUUGUUGUAAGGUUGGUCUCCAAAGUAUGGCCAACACAAGAAAGGUACCCCAUUGGACAAACCUUCCAUGGUAGAAUUCCAACCACAAUGAGUGAGAAAACAUGCUAUGGCAGGGUGACUUAAAACCUUUUGUUGAGGAGCCCAAUUCACUAUCUUACCCUUAUGCCCUUGGAAUUCAUGAGGGUAUGCCAUUUUAUUGUCUUCUCUUAUAACCCAAAGAAAAGGUCUAUUGGUGAGGUCUAGUCCUAGGGCAAGUUCAUUGAAUUGGUUUUGGUCAAAAAGAGUGAUACUACCAAAGGCAACAUACAACACAGAACCAUCAGCUUGUUCAUCUAGCCAACUCAUGCAAGAGAGAUCUUCUUCCCAGAAUUGUCCCAAUGAUCUUAGAGUUACAUUAGUUUUGUAAUGAUGAUCACUUCUCAACAACGGACCAAUUGGAAGGAAACUCGGAACAAGGGUUAAUACGUGAGGUUCAAGUUCAUGUGCAGUAUCACAAAGCCACCAUUAAGUCAAAUUUAAAGCUGGAGUACAGUGAUGCACCAAGUAAUUAAGGUAAUGAGAACCAUCCAUAAGUCCAGNNNNNNNNNNNNNNNNNNNNNNNNNNNNNNNNNNNNNNNNNNNNNNNNNNNNNNNNNNNNNNNNNNNNNNNNNNNNNNNNNNNNNNNNNNNNNNNNNNNNCAUGACAUAAUUGAGAAGUAAAAUAUGUUUUUAGAUGGGCAUGGUAUUUAUUAAAACAGGACCAAACAAAAGCAUAAGGUGCCACACUUUAGAAACAAAGGCAACAAUACAAAAGUAUAGUAAAGUAUGAUAGUGUUCUUACCAUCUGAAUCUAUGAUCCCAUCAUCAACGAGCUUUGGAACACUGCUUACCAAAUGAAACAAAGUUGCAGAGGCAGGCCAAAACAGAGCUCCUUUGAUUUCCAAUUCACAGGCAACAUUCAAUAUCCAUCCAACAUGUACAUCUGCAACAAUAAACCUGAUUCUGUUGUCACCUUUCAAAUGAAUAUUAUUAUUAUCCUCUAUGAGCUUUUUAAGUGCUUCUGGCAUGGUGAUUAGCAUAGAAUCACAUAGCUUGCCCAAGUUGUUUCUGUCAUCAUCAGGUCCUAAGCCAUCUGGGAUUGAGACCAACUUCAGUGGUGAUUCUUCAUUGUAUUGAUCCACCAUUGAGCUCACCACUCUCUUGUGGUUGAAGUCUGUGUUCACAAAUAUGACUUUGCAUCCAUUCUCCACCAGCUUUUGUGAUAGGGUUAACAUGGGAUUCACAUGCCCUUGACAUGGAAAUGGGAAAACUAGCACAGUUGGAAUGCUCAUGCUGUGUUCUUGUGUUUGCACUUCACGGGUAUGGCUUUGUUUAUAUACUCUGAAAAUAUGACUACCAGUUGUUAUAGGCUCAUUGGAUUAAGGAUAAUUGGUAAAUAUUUGGAACCACAAAUUUAAGUUUUGUUUUUAUCUGAAUGUGAGUUGUGUAUAAUUUAGUUAUCUAUAAUGUUAAUAGAAAUGUUAAGAAUUAUGGUUAUUGUUUACUGUGUAGCCAAAUCAAUUUUUUCUUCUUCUUUAAUAUAAUAUGAUUAUACAAAAUUGAGUUUGGUAGUUGAAUUGGAUUGUGAAAGUGCUGGUACCAAAGAAUAAGAAAACUUUCCACCUAUUGAUGGAUCUAAUUGAGUGAUAAGGGAACCAGAUGCUCGUCCUUGGCCAACUAUGCCAGAAUUUGCCCUUUCAAAAGCAAUGGUGUUGUAACGACCACAUCCCAUUCAAAUUCCAGGGAAUUUUUGUUAUUCUGCAUGCAGUACAGAACCCAAUUGUACAGUACGUUCACGAUAAUGGAAGUAAGUUAUUUCUUCUCCAAUUUUCCUAACGAUCAUGAUGAGAGGGACAUGUGGAAGAUUUUUCAGCGAAGUGGAGGAUUAAAAGACGUUGUGAUUUAAAAAGAUUAAUCGUAAAAGGGCAGAGGUUUGGUUUUGUUAGAUUUCAGGAUGUUGUAGACGUUGCUAAUCUAGAAAAAAAGCUUAAUAUUAUCUGGAUUGGGACAUGGAAGCUGAGAAUAAAUAAACCAAAAUACAAGAGACUUCUGGAGGUUAGGAAGGAGUGGAAUGGAAACCAUAAACCAAGGAAACAACAAAACGAGUGGAGGCAGAGGGAGCAACAUCUAACGUACGCUCAGGUGGUGGUGAAGGAGAAUAAAAGGAGAGUACAAGGGGUUAAGGCACAAGGACUGGUUCAUGUCAGAGUUCAGGAGGAAAAUGCAAAAUGGCUGAGAAGUUGCUUCGUAGGAAGAGUGGCGAAGGUGGAGAAGGUGCAGUCCAUGAAGUAGUGUUUCAUUAUGGAUGUUUUCAAGUGUAUUAGAGUGAGGUAUCUAGGGGGGACUACGUUCUGCUGUCUGAGGAUUUGGUAGGGGUGGUACAAAAAGCGUUGGAAGACAAAAAGGAGUGGUUUGCAAAUGUUUUUGCAUUUGUAGUCCCAUGGGAUGACAUCUUUGUAGUGGAGGACAAGAUUGUAUGGGUUAGAUGCAGAGGAAUUUCUUUAAAGUUCUGGAGUAAACAUUGUUUUGAACAAGUAGCAGCCCUCGUAGGGUCAUUGAUAGAAGUCGAUGUUGCAACGUUAUCAAGUACGCAAGGGUGCGUGUGAGGGUUCCUGUGGCCAGAGAAGCAUGCACGGUGAAGAAUGUGAGACUUAACGAAACAUUGUGUAAGCUAGUUAUAGAGGAGGAGACUUCCAUCACGAGUCUCUGCGUAUGCGGUCCUCAUUAUAAGUGGAGGGAGAUGCAUGGAAGGGAGUCAAAUGGUUAUUGGGUCUCGAAAGGCCCAGCGAAGUGAAGGCAGUAUGUUUAGUGUUUUCAUGGGUUUGGGCCCAAGGAAGGUGGAAGUUGAACAAUCAGGGGGUAUUGCAAGCACAUAACCCACGAAAUGGCAGCUAGAACAACGUUUACGUUGGCGAGGGGAGGAAUGGUGCGUUGCGAGUGAGUAAUGGAGGAAGGCAGGUGAGGGGUAAGGUGAAGCUCCUAUUGAGGUUGGGCGCUUGCAGAGGAGAAGGUGUCAUUGUCAUAGAGACAAAAGAGGGUGUUGAAACAUAUCAGUUGGCACAACGGGGCUAUGGCAGAUUUUCCCCAACAACGACGACGUUUAUAAGUGCCUAAUUUCAAUAAUAUUUUAUAUUAAAAUAUAGGUACUUAUGUGUAUUAAUUUCUAAAUUACAUAUAAAAUAAAUUCCUAAUUUAUGAAUUUAUGCCUUUUUUACAUUUUUUAUGAUCUUUAUUUGAAUAAGAACAUUUUAUUCCCAUAUUUGGUGUUAAUUGUAGGUUUCUAGGGAAAAAUGGAGAUUUGGACUAAAGAAGAAUGAUAUAAGCUAAAAAGAGAAUGCUGGAAGGUCCAGAAAGCACAAAAAGAGAAAAAAAAGAGUCCAACCCAGUAGCAGAGUUCUUGCUCAAACAAGCUAUAUCUCGCUUGAGCGAGAGAGCUCCAACAACGUUCUCAAAAAAUCGACUCCUUUCUCGCUCAAGCGAGAAUGCAUCAGAGAAAUUGGGCCAUUUUUAUGUUUUAUCAAUAAACCCAUCAGUGCGACGCAAGAAGUCACAUAACCCUAGUAAAUUAGGUUAAAUAGGGGGCUAAAGGCUCAACCCUAGUAUGCCAGAUUGAGAGAAAAACACAUUUGAGUGAUUUGUAACCAAUUGGGAGAAUGGAAGGUGCUGGAAGUAUGCGUGGGUAAUUCUACCCUUUGGGAUUGGGAGUAAUAUGUUCGAACUCUUAUGUAUUGAGGUGAUGUUUAAAUAUGAUAUCAUAUUUUGUCCUUGAUUGAUUAUUGGUAUUGUUGUUUUUCUUCUAAAUAGUGGUGACAUGUUUGAGAAUCUUGAAUUAGACUGGGAGGUAUUUUCAGGGUUCUGACCUAAACAACAAUACUUAACAUAUUUGAAUGUUAGAGAUAACUUGAAAUGUCAAUUGCUAUUAACGUCUGAGCGCGACUCUGAGUUGUUUUUAUAAGUAUGCGAGAGUUCGAUAUUUAGGAAACAUUCUUAAGAAUUUUAUAUGCGAGAGAUUGAUAUAAAUGAUUUUUCUACAGACAUCAAUUUCAAUAAAAGAACUUAAUGUUAACAUGCUAAUCAAAAUACAUGAGAGUGAGCAAGAUGAAACCUAAUCCCUAUUUGUCCAAUUGAAGCAAUUACUCUUUGAUUUGUUUUCUUGUUAAUUGUUGCCAUUAUAACAAUUUUCAAACCAAAUUUUUAUUGUUUUGUUUUAUAUUUAGUGAAUAUUGUACUUGAUAAUUCAAUUGUUCCUUGUGACAUUGAUAUUCAUUCUUUAUUACUUCUAACAACGCGAUGUACUUGCUGUAAAAAGUCAUCAGGCGUCCCCGGCUUCUCCCCUGCAUUCAUUUGGAGAAGGCAGCGAGCAAAGGGGGCGGAUAAGGGUGAAAAUUUUAAGUCUUCGAGCUGCAAUGGAAAGGCAGCCACGGAGGAGAAGGAAGACAACGACUUAAGGGGAUGUGCGACUUUGGAGGAAGGUGAUGGUGGUUGGUGCAGGGGAGAUGCGGACGUGAAGUUCGCUGAAAUUUUAAUCGAAGCUAAGGGAGAUGGAGAUUUUUCAAAAAGAGGAGCGGAAGCGAGAAUAUUGACGGGGGCCACACCGACAAACUUUUCGGUGCAAAAUCAACGGGAAAUAAGGUUAGAUUCUUAGAGCUCAAUCAAUUGCUCUACUCAUAGUGCACUUAGGAAUUGUAAUAGGUUGUUUUGGAUUAAAACGAGUACUCGAAAGCUGAUAGAAUUUGGAAUGUUGGUAAGGAGGUGGGGUUUUCCUUUCUCGGAGAGGGUGAUGUUGUUAUUGGUAAGCUACAAGUCAUGGAGGUUAGAGACAAAUCUGCAGGUAGGAGGGAGGAAAUAAGCAGGGUGGAGAAUAGUCUGUCUAAUGAGUAAGCUAAUUAAUAUGAAUAUAAGGGGAGUAGGGGGAAAUAUUAAAAGGAAAUAUCUACGAGUUGAUUAAGAAAGAACAAGUAUGUUUACAGGAGGCAAAAUGUAAGGAGUUGGGGCAAGAAGAGAUUUUUAAAAUGUGGGGUACUAAUGAAGUGGAUUGGGUUGAAAAUGGAAUUAAAAACAAUGCAGGAGAGGUGAUCACGAUGUGGAGGAGAAGUUGCUUUCUUCUUAGUAAUUUUAUCAAUGAGAAGAAUUAUAGUAUAAUAGAAAGGGAGUGGAGGAUUGGAGAGCCGAUACAGAUCACUAUUGUUGACGUGUAUAAUUCCGGUUCCUUGGAAGAAAAAAGAUAAGUAUGAGAGGAGGUCAGAGAGAGGAGAACGGUGCAUGGAUCAAAGGCUUGGUGCGUGGUUGGGAACUUUAACUCUAUCAGGAGAAUAUGUGAAAGGAGGAAUGCAGGAAACGAUAUUGAUCACAGUAGGGAGAUGAGAAGAUUCAAUAAUUUUAUUGAAAACACUGAGUUGGUUGAUAUUUCGAUGAUGGGAAGAAAGUUUACGUGGUAUAAACCAAACAAUUUAAUCAAGAGUAGAAUUGAUCGUAUCUUGGUGUCGCGGGAAUGGUUGAAUAAGUAGCCUAACAGUAAACAUCUCGUUCUAAACAGAUCGGUGUCUGAUCAUUGCGUCCUGGUAUUAAAAACAGAUACUACGGAUUGGGGACUGAAACCAUUUAGGUCGUUGGAUAUAUGGAAAAAUGACGACAAAUUUAUGGAUUUCGUUAGAGUGAAAUGGGGAAGUUAUGACGUGCAAGGAAGUGAGAUCUUUGUCUUUAAAGAGAAGUUGAGAAUGUUGAAAGUUGAUCUUAAAACCAGGGAUAGAGAGGUGUUCGAUAAUGUUGAUCAGUUGGGGGAAGAUUUACAGAAGAAAGUUUAGGAGUCUGAUGCAAAGGAUGAUGAGGGCGAGUUGGAUGAGGAAGGAAGAGAGGAAAGAAAAUGGCUUUUAGCAAAGCAGAGAAGAAAUAAUCACGGACAUGAAGCUUUAUUUCAACAUAAGAUGCGCCAUGGAUGGUUGAAUCAGGGGGACUUGAAUACAAGAUAUUUUCAUUCGGUAAUCAAAUAGAGGAGAGCAAGGAACAACAUUAGUGGGCCGAGAGAAAAUGGCCAAUGGGUUGACGAGCAAGGUGAGGUCAAGAAAAAGGUUAGAGAUUUCUUCCAACAAAGGUUUGGUGGUGAUGCUUGUAAAUGUGUCAGGAUUGAUAAUGCAAGGUUCAACAGGAUUUCAGAAGAAGACAAUGAUAUGUUGGUAGGAAGAAUAAUCGAAGAGGAAAUAAAACAUGUUGUUUGGUGUUGUGAAAGUGAUAAAAGCCCGAGACCGGAUGGAUUUAACUUUGGCUGCAUUAAGUUUUGUUGGGAUGUUUUUAAGGUCGAUAUCAUUAGGGCAAUUCGUGAUUUUAAGGAAGGAGGAAGAUGGCCAAGGGGGACGAAUGCUUCGUUUAUCUCCUCCUAAAUAACCCGCAAAAAUUUGAACGAUUUUAGACCAAUUUCUUUGAUUGGCUAUCUAUACAAAAUUGUGACUAAAAUUUUGUCUUUGAGGCUGAAAAAUGUUUUGCACAAAGUUAUUGACAGUAGGCAAUUUGUUUUCUUGGAGGGUAGGGGGUUAAUGGAUAGUGUUUUAGUGGCAAAUGAAGUUUUGGAAGAAGUGAAGAGGAGAAAGACCAGUUGCUUUUUUUUUUCAAAGUUGACUAUGAAAAGGCAUAUGACUCGAUCAUUUGGGACUUUAUCUAUUACAUGAUGGACAAGUUAGGUUUCUGCGGAAAAUUGAUUGAAUGGGUAAGGGCAUGUCUCGAAUCAUCCUCCGUGUCCGUGUUAGUAAAUGAGAAUUCAGACCGAGGAAAGAAUUAAGACAAGCAGAAUUGAGAAAAAGAUUGGCUGGAGUAGUUAGGAAGGCGGUCGAGAAAGAGAUUCUAGAAAACCUGGAGAUUGGAGACAAGUUUGUUAAGGUAAACAUGCUUCGGUAUGCGAAUGAUACCCUUUUUUCUGCAAAGCUAAAGUGCAAAGUGUGUUCGUUAUCAAAGCCAUCCUUAAUUUAUUUGAAUUAGCUUCUGGUUUAAAGAUUAAUUUUGAGAAGAGCAGAAUAUGUGGGGUGGGAGGUGAUUUACAUAUGGGGCAACUUUGUGUAUCUAUUUUGAACUGCGCUGUGAUGAAGACUACGUUUAAGUAUUUGGGCAUGCUAGUAGGGGGAUGUCACAAAAGAAGUAAGUUAUAGGAAGACUUUGUCUGAUAAAAUUGGUUCUAUCUUCUCUACCCAUGUUCUAUAUGUCACACACACACAAUAUUUCAAAAUAUUGCCCUCUUCAUAGGAAUUUUAAUAUUUACACAUAUCAAACUAAAAUACUUAAGAAAACUAAACAUUUCCUUUGCUCAUUGUGAAGCUCUCUCAUUUGUAGCAUCAUCUGCUUCCGUAUAAAUACAUGAUCAUCCUAGAUAAGAAAAACAAAUUAUAAAAUAAACAACAUGGUAAACUAGCUAUUUUUAAAAUUUCAAAUAUAAAUUUAACUUAAAUUAACAAGCAUAAAUGCAUCAAUUCUCAUAUAUUUCACAAAGAAAUCAAGUGUGUAUAAAAUUCAUAAUUCAUCUUUCUCAUGUCAAACUUCUCCUAACCCACAACACAUAGACACUUGACUCUACUUUCAGAAGACAAAUGUAUUGAAAUUAGCACUCAGAAACAAACAAUCCUUCAAGAAAAUUGAACUAGUGUCCACGUCACCCGCACAUCCAGAUCUUCUAACCUAGGUUCUAUUGAAAAUUUAAAACUAGCUUCCCUUACCUGACUUUAGUAGGUGUGCUCACAAAGAGCUCCAACUCCUACUACAAUAAAUGAUAACUUAACCUGCAUCACAGAGUCUUAAUCAAAGGUCUAAAUAUAACACUAGGAAUUUGAAUUAAGAGUGGUUAAUCUUGAAGUUAGAAACAUCACAUGAAACAACCUAUACUAAGACAAACCUAACUAGUUAAGAACUGACUCAAAGGAAAAAUGAGCAAAAAAAGAAGAAGAACUUACUCUGUCUAAGAUUCUAAUCGUACCGUCUUGUGGCCUUUGCUGCUAGGAGUCCAAUAAUGGACUCUGAUCGUUAAUAUGAUGAAUGAGGAUGUCGAAAUUUUAGAGAUAAGGUAGAGAAAAGGAAAAUAGAAGUUUCAGAGAGAUGGUAAUUCUUUUAAAAUGAAAUAUGAGUAACUGAAUUUCUUUUCAUAUACUAUUUUCACUUUAAUAAUAAAAUAUUCAAGUUUCAUUUAAAAUAUAUCACUUCUACUCUAAAAUUAGUUUUUAGAUCCUUACCUUCAUCAAUACAUUUAUUUAUUUAUUAUAAAAGUUUUUAGUGGCAUAAGAGUGUAUGAAUACAUUAUACCGUUAACUUCAUCUUCAACUUACAUCAUGUGAAAAUUUCAUUUAAAUAAUGUUUAAAGCUCACUAGUGGAAACUCUAAUGUUAGUUACAAUUACUGUAUAUAGGAACCUAUAAUAAUAGUUUUUUAAACUAAAAAUUAUUGUUGAACUGGACAAGAGUGAGAAUUUACUAAAAAAACCUUCAAAUUAUAAUUUUUAUUCAAUAAUAAUUUUUUUAUAAAUAAAAAUUAAAUUUUGUUAAGAAUUCAGUUGGAUCCCAUAUUUUUUUUUAGUUUUCUUUUUCAACUAUUUUUUUUGUGUGGAUUCUUCUUAUCAUUUGUAGAGUAGCUAGUUACAUGAGCAACAACUUUUUUUGAAAGGGAUGGGAGGGAGGGAGUCUCUUUUCUCAUAUUCCAGUCUCUUUUUCUGCUGGUGUAUGUGCUAAUCAAAUUCCUCUGAUUUGGGAAGUCUUUAUAGUUUAAGUUUUUUAGUGUUAAGUGCUCCCUUAACCCUGUUUUGUAUUGUUGUUUGUUUAAACUAUGGAGGUAUUAUGUAUAAGGAUUGGGACACUCUUUAAGUGUCUCAUUUUUAUUUUAUUAAUUUAAUGCUGAUAAAAAAAAAAAACAACUAUUUUUGAACUAUUUCAUAUGCUUAGAGAAUCAUCAUUCAUUUGAUCUUGAAUUUCUGGUUCCUUGUACUUUUCAGACUUAAUUAAUAUGGACCACGUACCCCAUGAACUAAAUGCACCUAAGUCUUUUGUCUCUUGCACCUCCAUUGUCAGAACCACGUGGCCCAUCACAAGUUUUCACAGUGUCCUUUUAGAAUUUUUCAAUCUUUUCUCAGUUUGCUUUCUUUAUUUGUAUAUGUAUUAUUUGUGUACAUAUUGAAAACUUUAUUGUAUCUAGAUUACAGUAAAUAUAUAUGGUUCUCGAACAUGUGUUUGCUUACAAAACGAUUGCUCUGUUCUUUCCUUUGGUCGUUCGCGGUCAUAUUCAGUUUCUUGCUUCGUCUUUCUCUUUUCGGUCGUUUGGUUUCAAAGGUUGGGAUAGUACUUGCAGAAGGCAUUCCGACGAUCAAGUUAGUCAGAGUAUCGACACUCAGUUGUCAGAGUACUGCAGAUAAUUGACGUACCUGAUUUUUGGAAUAUGUGUUAUUUAUAUUAUCUUAAUGAACCUUUAUUGGUGGGCCGGAUUAAGAUGUUGGCUAAUGUUUAGGAUUUAGUAAACAACUCUUAAUUAUGGAUUAAUCCUGCUGACUUGGUCAACCCAUAGUUCGUCAUCAAGGUCGGUCGAUCAGGUUCUUCACAUGACCUUCUUAUCAUGACCGAGUGAUCGAGUUCAUGACCGACUCACUUAGUGGUUCGAUCGUGUGCCAGUACAUACAUUUUUUUACUUUAAAGUGAUUCAUAAUUUUUACUAAUAUUAUAUAAUUUUUCACAUUAAAAAUGCGUAUUUUUUUUAUGAUUUUUGAGUUUGUGUUAUUUCUUUUAUCAGUUUAUUAAUAUAAAAGUGUCGGUUCAAAUAAUUCGAAACUUAAGUAUUUAUACACUUUAUUCAAAUUGAUCAAUUCAAUGGGAUGUAAACUAAUUGGGUACUGGAAGGAUAAGAAAGUAAAUUGAACUAUUAUGAAAGACUAUUUAUAUUAAUUUUACCUCUAAAAGUUUAUAUUAUGUUCAUUAAAAUAACUAAUAAGUAGAGAUAAAAUAAAUAACUUUAACUAAGGGUUGAAACUCGAAUUUUUAUUUCAGAGUUGUUAACUUAACAUUUAAAAUCUUUCAAAAGCAUGAACAAUCUUUUAGAUUGGCGCCUGUAAAUAAGAGAAAAAAAAUCAUUAUUUUUGUUUCCUAUGUUUAUAGGAUCUGAAAAAAAAAACUAAUAAGUCAACACAUAAGUAUAAAAUGAAUAUCAAAUUAAAUUUUUCAUCAGUUAUCAUUAAAUCUUUAUAACUGUGUGUUAGUUUGAAUUGGGUCAGUUUAAACAUAAAACCAACUCAACACAAUCAUAAAUAAAACUUCAACUCAACCUAUUGAAUUAAAUUAAAGUUUGUUAAGCUGGCGUUUUUUUUAAUUAGGUUGUAUUAUUAUUUUUUAAUUAGGUUAAUAUUUAAAAGUUAUAAUUUUUAACGAAAAAAAAUUCAAAUUUUUGAUCCAAUCUUAAUCCAACCAUCUCAAAAAUGAUUUGGAUUAAUUGGUUUAACAUGCAAAAUUUAAAAACAAACUUAACCAACCUUAUAUUUUUAAAUGGGUUGAAUAAUAGGUUUUUCUAGAUAUACCCAAUAGAAAACCAUUUAAAAAUUAUAAUGGAUUUUUACCGCUUGAAAAGAGAUUCUAUUAACUUGGAUUCCAUCUUUUCUUUCAUCAAACAUAUAGUGAUAAUGGAUUUUUUUUAUUGUUUAUAUUUCCUUUUGUUAACAAACUUGCUACAUUUUUUUUUCUUAAGCAAAAUAAUUUAGUAGUAAAAGAAACCUAAACUUGAGCAUAAGAUGUAAGUAAAACUGUAAAAAAUUUAAAUGACUCCAUUAAUCAUUGAGGAUCAUAAACAUAAACUAUCAUGGUAUACAAAACAACAACUAAUCCAAACCUAGAAUUAACAUAAGCACAGACUGUGAUGUGAAAUCUUAUUCUUUUAUCUCCUUCUUCACAAACCUCUUAUUCCUUUAUCGCCUUCACAAAGCUCUUAAAGUUCUCAUAAGAUGUUCCUCCUUUUGCUAUGUUCUUCAUCACUUUCUCCUUCAACACCACACACCUACAUUUUAUGUUCUCAUCAUUAAAGAUCUGUUCCACUUUGGUUUUCAACUCUCCGCGUGACACAACUCCAUUUUCAUCUUUGUCAAUUCCCAACCCAACCUUUAACUCAUCACAAAUAUGUGUUUUGUUGUAAGGUUGGUCUCCCAAGUAUGGCCAACACAACAAAGGUACCCCAUUGGACAAACCUUCCAUGGUAGAAUUCCAACCACAAUGAGUGAGAAAACAUGCUAUGGCAGGGUGACUUAAAACCUUUUGUUGAGGAGCCCAAUUCACUAUCUUACCCUUAUGCCCUUGGAAUUCAUGAGGGUAUGCCAUUUUAUUGUCUUCUCUUAUAACCCAAAGAAAAGGUCUAUUGGUGAGGUCUAGUCCAAGGGCAAGUUCAUUGAAUUGGUUUUGGUCAAAAAGAGUGAUACUACCAAAGGCAACAUACAACACAGAACCAUCAGCUUGUUCAUCUAGCCAACUCAUGCAAGAGAGAUCUUCUUCCCAGAAUUGCCCCAAUGAUCUUAGAGUUACAUUAGUUUUGUAAUGAUGAUCACUUCUCAACAGCGGACCAAUUGGAAGGAGACUCGGAACAAGGGUUAAUACGUGAGGUUCAAGUUCAUGUGCAGUAUCACAAAGCCACCAUUGAGUCAAAUUUAAAGCUGGAAAACAGUGAUGCACCAAGUAAUUAAGGUAAUGAGAACCAUCCAUAAGUUCAGCCAUGUGAAACCAAAACAAGGUUCUUGUGUCCAUCUCUGGCAUACUUGGUGAUAAUUGAAUUGUCCCUUUUGAAGUUAAUAUGGAUCCUGCAAUGAAACAUGACAUAAUUGAGAAGUAAAAUAUGUUUUUAGAUGGGCAUGGUAUUUAUUAAAACAGGACCAAACAAAAGCAUAAGUUGCCAGACUUUAGAAACAAAAGUAUGAUAGUGUUCUUACCAUCUGAAUCUAUGAUCCCAUCAUCAACGAGCUUUGGAACACUGCUUACCAAAUGAAACAAAGUUGCUGCGGCAGGCCAAAAUAGAGCUCCUUUGAUUCCCAAUUCACAGGCAACAUUCAAUAUCCAUCCAACAUGUACAUCUGCAACAAUAAACCUGAUUCUGUUGUCACCUUUCAAAUGAAUAUUAUUAUUAUCCUCUAUGAGCUUUUUAAGUGCUUCUGGCACGGUGAUUAGCAUAGAAUCACAUAGCUUGCCCAAGUUGUUUCUGUCAUCAUUAGGUCCUAAGCCAUCUGGGAUUGAGACCAACUUCAGUGGCGAUUCUUCAUUGUAUUGAUCCACCAUUGAGCUCACCACUCUCUUGUGGUUGAAGUCUGUGUUCACAAAUAUGACUCUGCAUCCAUUCUCCACAAGCUUUUGUGAUAGGGUUAACAUGGGAUUCACAUGCCCUUGACAUGGAAAUGGGAAAACUAGCACAGUUGGAAUGCUCAUGCUGUGUUCUUGUGUUUGCACUUCACGGGUAUGGCUUUGUUUAUAUACUCUGAAAAUAUGACUACCAAUUGUUAUAGGCUCAUUGGAUCAAGGAUAAUUGGUAAAUAUUUGGAACCACAAAUUUAAGUUUUGUUUUUAUCUGAAUGUGAGUUGUGUAUGAUUUAGUUAUCUAUAAUGUUAAUAGAAAUGUUGAGAAUUAUGGUUAUUGUUUACUGUGUAGCCAAAUCAAUUUUUUCUUCUUCUUUAAUAUAAUAUGAUUAUACAAAAUUGAGUUUGGUAGUUGAAUUGGAUUGUGAAAGUGCUGGUACCAAAGAAUAAGAAAACUUUCCACCUAUUGAUGGAUCCAAUUGAUUGAUAAGGGAACCAGAUGCUCGUCCUUGGCCAACUAUGCCAGAAUUUGCCCUUUCAAAAGCAAUGGUGUUGUAACGACCACAUCCCAUUCAAAUUCCAGGGAAUUUUUGUUAUUCUGCAUGCAGUACAGAAUCCAAUUCUACAGUACGUUCACGAUAAUGGAAGUAAGUUAUUUCUACUCCAAUUUUCAUAACGAUCAUGAUGAAAGGGACAUGUGGAAGAUUUUUCAGCGAAGUGGAGGAUUAAAAGACGUUGUGAUUUAAAAAGAUUAAUCGUAAAAGGGCAGAGGUUUGGUUUUGUUAGAUUUCAGGAUGUUGUAGACGUUGCUAAUCUAGAAAAAAGGCUUAAUAUUAUCUGGAUUGGGACAUGGAAGAAUAAAUAAACCAAAAUAUAAGAUACUCGGCUCAAUUACAUAUCUAACACCAUUUACACUUUUAUUUCUUCAUCUAUCAUUCUUUUGUUUUUAUUUCCCUAUCUAGCACCAUUUCAAAAAUAAAUUAAAAAAAUAAUAAAUUAUUAUUUUUUGAUAAUUUUAAUUUUGAAUGCAUUAAAAAAUAAUUUUUUUAAUGUUUCAAAUAACUAGAAAUAUAAUUAAUGAAUAAAUAAAUGAGUUUUUACAAAAUAAAAAUAAAAAAAUAAUAAAUUAAAAAUGUUUAGUUUAAAAUUAUUAUUUUUUAAAAUGAACAAAAAUAAAAAAUUAAAACCAACAACAACAUAAAAGUUGAAUCCUAUAAACUAAAUUACUAUUUAUUUUUAUCAUCAUUGAUGAAGCAAAUAUUUAAAUUCAAGUAAAAAAAUCCAUCAAUAUAAUUAUAAAAAACUCUAAAGUUAAAUUAAUUUAAUUCACUACCGGUAACUUUAAAUAAUUAUUUUAAUNNNNNNNNNNNNNNNNNNNNNNNNNNNNNNNNNNNNNNNNNNNNNNNNNNNNNNNNNNNNNNNNNNNNNNNNNNNNNNNNNNNNNNNNNNNNNNNNNNNNUCAUUUACAGAUGAACAGAUUUAUUUUUCAAAACGAAAACAGAGAAAGUUUAACUAUUUAAAACUCAGUCGUUUUGAAAAGAAGAAGACUUAGUCAAAAUACCUGAUGCACAAAAUCUAAUUUUUACAAGACUUUAGCCAAGGCAUCAGUGAAGAAAAUGAAUCUGUUUAUUUAGAAAAGAACAGAUUUAUUUUUAUGCAGUAAACGUGUUUUUGUGUAAAACCUGUGAAAAACAGUUUAAGAAAACUUAUGCUUGUUCUUAACACAUGGCCAGUGGUUAUGAGGUGAGUUACUCAGCAAAAAGCUACUCUUAGACAACCUCUAAGCACUAACUAAGACAUACUUAAAGCAAAGCAAAAAUACAUGAAAGGUACAUAAAAGUCUUCAUCAAACACUACAUAUAUGUCUUCAUCAAACACAAUCUUGAAGGGGCAGCAACCAUCUUCAACAAGAACAAGAUGUCAUCAAGUACGUAAGGGUGCGUGUGAGGGUUCCAGUGGCCAGAGAAGCAUGCACGGUGAAGAAUGUGAGACUUAACGAAACAUUGUGUAAGCUAGUUAUAGAGGAGGAGACUUCCAUCACGAGUGUCUGUGUAUGCGGUCCUCAUUAUAAGUGGAGGGAGAUGCAUGGAAGGGAGUCAAAUGCUGAGUUGGAGGAGAAGUUUAGAGAGGAGUUCUUUGAGUCAGAAGGCUUCGACUACAAUGAUCAAAAUGAUGCGAGGGGGAAUGCCAACAAAGAGAAAUCAGUGAAAUUUCAGGCAAAGGGAGUUUCAGGUGCCGGGGGAGGCACAUGUAUAGGUAGCUCAAGUAGAGGUAGGGAAUCGAGGCAUGGAGGAGGUUACACUAAUUUGGAGGGGCACGUUGGCGGCAUGAGAAAAGAAGGUAUAUGCAGGACAUCCUUUGAGGUUGUGUCAAUGCAACAAGAGGUUAAUAAACCAAUAUGGGAUGCUACGGCUACGCGUGCUAAGGAGGUUAACCUAAUGGUUAUUGGGUCUCGAAAGGCCCGACGGAGUGAAGGGAGUAUGUUUAGUGUUUUCAUGGGUUUGGGCCCAAGGAAGGUGGAAGUUGAACAAUUAGGGGGUAUUGCAAGCACACAACCCACGAAAUGGCAGCUAGAACAACGUUUACGCUGGUGAGGGGAGGAACGGUGCGUUGCGAGUGAGUAAUAGAGGAAAACAGGUGAGGGGUAAGGAGAAGCUCCUAUUGUGGUUGGGCGCUUGCGGAGGAGAAGGUGUCAUCGUCACAAAGACAAAAGAGGGUGCUGAAACAUAUCAAUUGGUGCAGCGGAGCUAUGACAAAUUUUCCCCAACGGUGACGACGUUUAUAAGUGCCUUAUUUCAGUAAUAUUUUAUAUUAAAAUAUAGGCAUUUAUGAGUAUUAAUUUCUAAAUUACAUAUAAAAAAAAUUCCUAAUUUAUAAAUUUAUGCCUUUUUAUUUUUUAUGAUCUUUAUUUGAAUAAGAACAUUUUAUUCCCAUAUUUGGUGUCAAUUGCAGGUUUCUAGGGAAGAAUGGAGAUUUGGACUAAAGAAGAAUGAUAUAAGCUAAAAAGAGAAUGUUGGAAGGUCUAGAAAGCACAAAAAGAGGAAAAAGAAGUCCAAUUCAGUAGCAGAGUUCUCGCUCAAGCAAGUUAUAUCUCGCUUGAGCGAGAGAGCUCCAACAACGUUAUCAAAAUCGACGCCUUUCUCGCUCAAGCGAGAAUGCGUCACACAAAUUGGACCAUUUUUAUGUUUUAUCAAUAGACCCAUCAAUGCGACGCAGAAAUUCACCUAACCCUAGUAAAUUAGGUUAGAUAGGGGGCUAGAGGCUCAACCCUAGUGUGUUAGAUUGAGAGGAAAACACCUUUGAGUGAUUUGUAACCAAUUGGGAGAAUGGAAGGUGCUAGAAGUAUGCUUGGGUAAUUCUACCCUUUGGAAUUGGGAGUAAUCUGUUUGAACUCUUAUGUAUUGAGAUGAUGUUUAAAUAUGAUAUAAUAUUCUGUUCUUGAUUGAUUAUUGGUAUUGUUGUUUUGCUUCUAAAUAGUUGUGACAUGUUUGAGAAUCUUGAAUCCGACUGAGAGGUAUUUUUCAGGGUUCUGACCUAAACAACAAUACUUAAUAUAUUUGACUGUUAGAGAUAACUUGAAAUGUCAAUUGCUAUUAACGUCUGAGCGUGACUCGGAGUUGUUUUUAUAAGUAUGCGAGAGAUCGAUAUUUAGGAAACAUUCUUAAGAAUUUUAUAUGCGAGAGAUUGAUAUAAAUGAUUUUUCUACGGGCAUCAAUUUCAAUCAAAGAACUUAAUGUUAACAUGCUAAUCAAAAUACAUGAGAGGGAGAAAGAUGAAACCUAAUUCCUAUUUUUCCAAUUGAAGCAAUUACUCUUUGAUUUGUUUUCUUGUUAAUUCUUGCCAUUAUAACAAUUUUCAAACCAAAUUUUUAUUGUUUUGUUUUAUAUUUAUCGAAUAUUGUACUUGAUAAUUCAAUUGUUCCUUGUGCGAUCGAUAUCCAUCCUGAUAUCCAUCCUUAGGGACAAAUUAUUACUUUUGACAACGCGAUGUACUUGCCGUAAAAAGUCAUCAGGCAUUCCCGACUUCUCCACUGCAUUCAUUUGGAGAAGGCAGCGACCAAAUGGGACGGAUAAGGGUGGAAGUUUUAAGUCUUCGAGCUGCAAUGGAAGGGCGACCACGGAGGAGAAGGAAGACAACGACUUAAGGGGAUGUGCAGCUUUGGAGGAGGGGGGGUGAAUAGUUUAAAAGAGAUUUACGAAAUUUUUUGAAGAUUUAAUGGAAUUCUGUGAAGAAAUCCAGAAGAGGAAUCAAGUUAGCUAAGAACACAAACUGUUUUAAAGCAAAACACAGAAAAACAAUCGGUUGUUUAUACCAGUUAAAACUUAAACAACUUAAAAACAGAAUUUAAAGGAGUUCAGAGAAAGAGAAAUGCACACAAGCAGUUUAUACUGGUUCACUCUUACAACAAGAGCUACAUCCAGUUCCCAGAAACCACUAGGUAAUCCACUAAGCAAUUAAACCAGAUUACAAACACCACACACCAAAGUAGUGACCCUGAACCCCUCAAGAAACACAUUACCUUUGGCAAACCACACCAAGAGUAUUGAUCUUGAACACCUCAAGAACACACAACACUCCUUAGCAAUACAACAACAAAAAUACAAAAGAUUGAGAAAGGAUUACACCUGAUCAAAGUACAAUAUGAAAAGAAUACAAUUGCAAUCCUAUUUCACUCUCACUUGAAAAUCCAAAGCUUGAUGUGAAUCUUGAAAACUUGAGAUCAAAAGAUUGGUCAAAACAUUUAAUAUUAUCCAAAGAUUGGUCAAAACAUUUAAUAAAGGAAUGUAUUCAGUUAGAAAUCAUUUAAGACAGAUUCACCAUUCAAAACAGGAUCCUGUUAGGAUUUUCAAAGUUGAAACCACAAAACAGCCGAUUGAUUUGGUUUGACAGUUAAGUCAACCAAGUCAAACAACUUUCAGCCUUUUUCAAAACAUCUAAGAACAAAACAACCGGUUGAUUCGACAAAACAACAAGUUGUUUUUCACUUAGUUGAAAAAACAUUUAAUUUCAAAAAGGUUUUAAUUCACAUCAGUUUUAGAUUCAACAAAAGAGUGGAUCGCACUUUAAUCUACCCAGAUCCCACCCACACAUAACAACAACACUAGCCUUUCAUCAAACACCUUGGAUUUGGAUUCUUCAAAGCUCUUGAUCACUCUUGAUCAAUACAGGGGAGAUGUAAACGUGAAGUUCGACGAAAUUCGAAUUGAAGCCAAGGGAGAUGGAGAUUUUUCAAAAAGAGAAGCGGAAGCGAGAAUAUUGUCGGGGGCCACACCGAAAAACUUUUCGGUGCAGAAUCAAUGGGAAAUAAGGUUAGAUUCUCAGAGCUCGAUCAAUUGCUCUACUCAUAGUGCACUUAGGAAUUGUAAUAGGUUGUUUUGAAUGAAAACGAGUACUCAAAAGCUGAUAGAAUUUGGAAUGUUGGUAAUGAGGUGGGGUUUUCCUUUCUCGGAGAGGGUGAUGUUGUUAUUGGUCAGCUAAAAGUCAUGGAGGUUAGAGACAAAUCUGCAGGUAGGAGGGAGGAAAUAAGCAGGGUGGAGAAUAGUCUGUCUAAUGAGUAAGCUAAUUAGUAUGAAUAUAAGAGGAGUGAGAGGAAAUAUUAAAAGGAAAUAUCUACGUGAGUUGAUUAAGAAAGAACAAGUAUGUUGACAGGAGGCAAAAUGUAAGGAGUGGGGGCAAGAAGAGAUUUUUAAAAUGUGGGGUACUAAUGAAGUGGAUUGGGUUGAAAAUGGAGUUGAAAACAAUGCAGAAGGGUUGAUCACGAUGUGGAGGAAAUGUUGCUUUCUUCUUAGUAAUUUUAUCAACGGGAAGAAUUAUAGUAUAAUAGAAAGGGAGUGGAGAAUUGAAGAGCCGAUACAGAUCACUAUUGUUGACGUGUAUAAUUUCGAUUCCUUGGAAGAAAAAAGAUCAGUAUGGGAGAAUGUCAGAGAGAGCAGAACGGUGCAGGGAUCAAAGACUUGGUGCGUGGUUGAAACAAACUUCAAAUUAUAAUUUUUAUUUAAUAAUAAAUUUUUUAUAAAUAAAAAAUAAAUUUUGUUAAGAAUUCAAUUGGAUCCCAUAUUUUUUUUUUUAGUUUUCUUUUCAACUAUUUUUUUGUGUGGAUUCUUCUUAUCAUUUGUAGAGUAGCUAGUUACAUGAGCAACAACUAUUUUUGAACUAUUCCAUGUCCUUAAGGAGAAUCAUCAUUCAUUUGAUCUUGAAUUGCAACAAUUUCAGAAUGUAUAUAAUUGAACAUUUCUGGUUCCUUGUACUUUUCAGACUCAAUUAAUAUGGACCACGUGAAAAAUACCCCAUCAACUAAAUGCACUUAAGUCUUUUGUCUCUUGCACCCCCAUUGUCAGAACCACGUGGCCCAUCACAAGUUUUCACAGUGUCCUUUUAGAAUUUUUCAAUCUUUUCUCAGUUUGCUUUCUUUAUUUGUAUAUGUAUUAUUUGUGUACUUAUUGAAAACUUUAUUGUAUCUAGAUUAUAGAUUUUUUUUUUACUUUAAAGUGAUUCAUAGAUUUUACUAAUAUUAGAUAAUUUUUUACAUUAAAAAUUCGUACAUUUUUAUGAUUUUUUUAGUUUGUUAUUUCUUUUAUCAAAUUAUUUUAAUAUAAAAGUGUCGGUUCAAAUAAUUGGAAACUUAAGUGUUUAUACACUUUAUUCAAAUUGGACCAAUUCAAUGGGAUGUAAACUAAUUGGGUACUGGAAGGAUAUAUAAGAAAGUUAAAUGAACUAUUAUGAAAGACUAUUUAUAUUAAUUUUACCUUUAAAAGUUUACAUUAUGUUGAUUAAAAUAACUAAUAAGUAGAGAUAAAAUAAAUAACUUUAACUAAGGUUCACUAUAAGAAAAUCAUGAUCAUAGAAACUAAAAUAAUUAGUUGUAAUAAUAAUUAAAUUAGAGAUCAUUUUAAAAAUUAAAAAGAAAUUAGUUUUUAUUAUUGUUAAAUAGUUUAUAAAUUUGUAUCUAAUUUGCAAUUAAGGUUUUUGCUACUGAAAUUAGAAACUAAUUUAAAAACUAUUUUUUUAGUUUUUAAAAUGGUUUUCAAUUUAGUUAUUAUUGUAAUUAAUUAUUUUGGUCUUUAAAAAUUGAUUUCUAUUUUAUGAUUUUCUUGUAAGUGUCUAAACUCGAAUUUUUAUUUCAAAGAUGUUAACUUAACAUUUCAAAUCUUUCAAUUUAAUUUAAAAUAAGUUGUUAGAUGUAAACUAUGUAACAUAAAUACAGAUACGGACACUGACACGAUACGGAUAUGGAUACGGACAAAGAGAUACGUAUAAUCUGUAAAAUGUAGGACACGGGGACACGGAUCUAUAUAUUAUAUAAUUUUAAUUAUAUAAAUUGAAAAUAAAUAUUUAUGUGCAAAAGUAUGUUUCAGACUCUUUUGGGAGUAGGAAGAUAUUUUUCAUGACUGGUUCAAAAGAAUUUGUUCCUUAUUUUUAUAAUCAUAAUAAAAAUUUAUACAAUAAAUUUGAAUUUUUAGAAAAUUAUUGUAUUUAUACCUUUUAAAAUUGUGUUAGAACCGUGCUAGAAUUUUAAAAAAUUCAACAAAUUUUUUUGAAUUGAACACUUCACCAAUAAGUGUCCUAGGAGUGUUGACACCGAUACGUGUAUCCGACACGGAUACGCCUAUUUAAGAGAAGUGUCCGAGCUUCAUCCUAACUAUCAUAAAAAUGUAAGAAGAGCAUUCAUUUGGGUUUAGAUGGUAAUAUAUAUAUAUAUAUAUAUAUAUAUNNNNNNNNNNNNNNNNNNNNNNNNNNNNNNNNNNNNNNNNNNNNNNNNNNNNNNNNNNNNNNNNNNNNNNNNNNNNNNNNNNNNNNNNNNNNNNNNNNNNNNNNNNNNNNNNNNNNNNNNNNNNNNNNNNNNNNNNNNNNNNNNNNNNNNNNNNNNNNNNNNNNNNNNNNNNNNNNNNNNNNNNNNNNNNNNNNNNNNNNNNNNNNNNNNNNNNNNNNNNNNNNNNNNNNNNNNNNNNNNNNNNNNNNNNNNNNNNNNNNNNNNNNNNNNNNNNNNNNNNNNNNNNNNNNNNNNNNNNNNNNNNNNNNNNNNNNNNNNNNNNNNNNNNNNNNNNNNNNNNNNNNNNNNNNNUAUAAUAUAUACAUAUAUAUAUAUAUACAUAUAUAUAUAUAUGUAUAUAUAUAUAUACAUAUAUAUAUAUAUACAUAUAUAUAUACAUGUAUAUAUACAUACAUGUAUAUAUAUGCCUUUUUUUUUAUGUUUAUUGGAUCUGAAAAAAAAUCUAAUAAGUCAAUACAUAAGUAUAAAAUGAAUAUCAAAUUAAUUUUUUCGUCACUUAUCAUUAAAUCUUUAUACGUGUGAGUUAGUUUGAAGUGGAUCAUUUUAAACAUAAAUACAACUGAACACAGUCAUAAAUAAAACUUCAACUCAACCUAUUGAAUUAAAUUAAAUUUUGCAAAGCUUGUGUUAUUUUUAAUUAGGUUGUAUUAUUUUUUUUAAUUAGAUUAAUAUUUAAAAAUUAUAAUUUUUAACGAAAAAAAAAAUCAAAAUUUUGAUCCAAUCUUAAUCCAACCAUCUAAAAAAUGAAUUGGAUUAAUUUGUUUAAUAUGCAAAAUUUAAAAACAAACUUAACCAACCUUAUUUAUUUUUAAUUGGUUGAAUAAUAGAAUUUUCUAGAUAUACCCAAUAGGAAGCCAUUUAAAAAUUAUAAAAAAAUAAUUUUUUUUUAUCAACAAAGAAUUAAUUGAAUUAAAAUAGAUCACUUUAGAGAUGUCUCGACCCUUAAACAAAAUCCUCCAUUCUUUCCACCUCUUACUCUAAUUAAAACUAGUAGUAACCAUUACAUCAAAGUGUUACAUCUCUCGUUAUGCUUUAUAUCAACCCCACAAAUAUGACCAUUCAAAACACUGACAAAGGUUCAUAGUUGUUCCCCUUCCAAUGGCUACCCAGUAGAGUGGGAGAUGUGGAUACAACUUCAGAGUGAUUAAUCCAGCCAAGUCCCUGCACGUUCCCAGCUCAUGAUCCAAAAAACUAAGAUUUACUCCUUCAUUUUUUUGAUCAGCAACGAAUUAAUAAAAUUUAAAAGAGACACUUUAGGAGUGUCCCAACCUGUAUACAAAAGACCUUAAUGUCUAGACUGUACGCAUAAGCUAAAAAGGUUCUGCUGGACAUAAAAGAGCCAACCUAAAAACUUAUGGAUUACCCAUUUACCCCAAUAGACAAAAAAACAACACAAAAGACCCUCACUCACCACCUAAGACAGAAAACAAACUUAACCCCUAAAGAAGUCCACGAAUACCUCCAUAGCACACCAUAUCAGCACUCUACAAAACCACCAGCUCCCUCCACGCCAGAAAAAGAUAUGCUAAGUUGACGGUGUUGAGUAGCACCUGUUCUCCACCGCAGGCUCGAUACUCAACAGUCCCCUGUAACUACCACACACCAACCACGCAGCUGCUCAUCUAGAACCAGUGGAUACGGAUAGGGAACCUGCUUAACUUCUUGUGCUUUGAAUAAGACACCUGAAGCUCCAAUCUGAUAUGAAGUCUUCAAACUUGCAGGCAUUACCAGAGUACCUUAAGCAACUUACAACUCGAGACGCUCACAACCGAUGCCCUCUACAUUCACCUCGCCACGCAACGAGUUACCCAUGCACAUUGCCUUCGACGACCACCGACUACGUCCAUAAAGAGCACGCCACUUCCUCGACCGGCGAUUAUCUUUGCAUAACUUCGACGACCACCGACCGAUGAUCAUGUUAGCCUUUGCAUCACUUCGACAUCCACCGCCUACGCACGCAUUGAGAUCGCCGUUUCAUCGAGCGGUGAUUCUGUUAACCUUGUAUAACUUUGGCGACCACCGACUACAUACAUAUGGAGCACGCCGUUUCAAGUAGCUACGGCGACCACCGACUACACACAUAUGGAGAACGCCGCUUCCUCGAUCGGUGAUCAUAUUGACUAUCGCCGUUUUUAUUACCGGCGAUCAUGUUGAGCGUUGCAUCACAUCGGCGACCACCGACUACACAGAAAUGGAGAGCGCCGCUUCAUCAAUCGACGAUCAUGUUGAUAUCGCCGUUUCAAUUACCGGCGAUCAUGUUGAGCUUUGCAUAACUUCGACGACCACCGACUACACACAAAUGGAUCAUGCUGCUUCACCGAUUGACAAUCAUGUUAACCUAUGUACAGCACCACUUCACCGACCGGCGAUCAUGUUGACUUGCAUACCUUCAACGAUCACCGACUGUAGUACCAUCCUCUCCAGAUUUGCUACUUCAGAGACCUACUGUACCCAUUUCACUUCCUUUCUCCAACCAUAGUGGCUAUUACCCAGUCCUUACCCUCCUUCUUUCCAGCAGCACCACCAUUAGCCCGUCUAGCCUGCUAUAUGCCUCCCCUUGUUAUUUGAUACUGCAAAUGCAUGUCAGCGGGUUCAUAACCCAUUCUGCAUAGGAGUAACAAAAAAUAUUUUCCUUGUGUUUCAACCAUAACCACGAUUUAAGUUGGGCAUUGUGGAAAACUUCUUCUACAUCUACAACUCUUUGGUUGAAGACAAUGGAGUUUCUAUGUUCCUAUAGACAUCAGACUACAGCUGCCCACACACCUUUCCAUACCAGGUUUUGUUUAUAGGAGUGUUGGGGGAGGGAAAAACCUUCAAAAUUGGUCCUAAGAUUAUUGUGUUGGACAGACCAUAUACCAACCCAUCUAAAGCAUAAGUCCCACACCCGUACUGCAUACUUGCAUUCUAUAAAGAGGUGCUGACACGUUUCCUCCUUGGUCUGGCAAAGGGCACAUUCUGUGGUGUUCACCAUCACCCCUCUCUUGCUCAAACACUCCCUUGUUGGUAGUCUACCCAACAACACUCUCCACGCAGUGAUCAGCACAUUAGGAAACGCCUUUGUCUUCCAAAGAUAGCCAAACGGCGAUAUUUGUGUUCCUCCGUCGGGCUCUUCAAGGCAUUUAUAUGCAGACUUCACUGUAAAGUUCCCUGAUUCGUCCCUCCUCCAUACUUGCUUAUCCUGUUCAUCCUUUUUCAUAGUGACCCUGGAAAUGAGCAUACCAAGCUCGGUUUCGAGGGGGACCUCCCACUCAAAUCUGUUGCGUCUCCACCUUAGCUUCCACUGCCACACUGACUCCUCCCACAUCCCAACCUCUCCCACCGUCUGGCCCUGAUAUAGUGACAAAGAGAAUAGUCUAGGAAACAGAGCCUUAAGGCUGGCAUUCCCAGUCCAUAUAUCCUCCCAGAAUCUUGCUUGAUCUCCUUUCCCUACUUUUCAGCUAACCUCUUUUUUAAACCAACCCUCUCCCCCUCCCUGCCGGCAUACCUUUACUAAAUCUCUCCACCACCAAGAUUGAUGUUUCAGUGGGGUAUGGUUUCCAUCUUGUUCCGUACCAUACUUUGACUCCAAGCACUCUUUCCAUUUUCCUUUCUCGUUCGAUAUACAUCUCCACUUCCACUUAGCUAAAAGUGCUAUAUUAAACUUCCGGAUGUCACGAAUGCCUAAACCUCCUUCCUCCCGCGGUUUACUCCUUCAUAUCCUUAACCAAACCUAAUUUGCAGUAUCCGACAGAUCAAGAAUAUCACACUAGAAUAACUGCAACGUUCUUAGCACAUUGGCUCCCUUCUAGUUCAUUGGGUUCAAAUGGGCGCAACCAGAGGAUCUUAAUCUUCAUCACCAACAAAAGAAUAUGCCAGCAGCACCUAAAGGCAUAUAGCAUAACGCAUAUAAAAACCAGAGUAACAACAUUAUGACACACCCUUCAGAGGAACAUGCGCCUUACUUAACCAAGUUGAAACCAUUCUCACAAAGAUCCUACCCUACCCAAUUACUUGCAACUUUUGAUGCAUAGAACAUGAUUUAAAUGUCAGUCAGAAAACGAAAAAUUAAAGGCAUUGAGCAUGUAUUUCAACUAUAGCAACGAUCUAAGUUGAGCCAUUUGGAAAACUUCUUCUGCAUCACGUACACCUUGCUUAAAAAUGACCAUGUUCCUUUGAUCCUAGAUACCUCUUACUAUUGCCGCUCAUAUACCCUUCCACACUAAGUUUUGCUUGGAAUUCAAAUACACCAGAUGAAAGCUUUCAAAAUGAACCUUCAAAUCCUUAUGUUGAACGUUCAGAGUACCUAUCCACUUGUAGCAAAGAGACCAAAUGAUAUGAAUCCAAAUAGAAAUGACAGUAAAAUUGGGAAUUUAGGGUUACGGAACGGAAUAAAUUCAAAACAAUAACAAUAGAAACCUAGAUAAAGGAAGGCGCCACAAACAAAGUUUGAUAAGCCUAAGGAUGAUCACCACAAGAAUUGGUGGAUUCUUGAUAAGAUCGCAAGAUGCAGGAAAAAACCCUAGCAGAGAAACACUCUCUAAAAUUGUCAAAAUAUUCGUCCCCCUAUGUUGAGUUCCAACAAUGUAUAAAUUACAAAUUUAGCUAGAGGUCUUUUCUUGUUUGUAAGAAAAUAAGACGAUACUACAAUCCUUAUAUUUCAAGAAUGAUCAUUUGUCCCAGUGGUUAGGUUGAUACUAUGUACUUGGUCCUGAGUUCAAAUCCUAACUCCCAAUCUUGUUGUGCGUGUAAUCAAGAUCAAUCUUGUAGGUAUUGUCAUUAAUCAUUUCUAACACUUGAAAAGGUCCCGUCUAGGUUGGAGCUUGGAUUUUCUUUGUCUAGAUUACUUUCUUUCUUCCUUUGUUAACUUGUUUAGAAUAACCUUCAUCUUUUUCUUCAACUUGUGCUUCAACCUUUUUAUGCUGCUUUCUCACAUAGUCAACCUUAGCUUGUGUAUCUUUAUGCUUUAAAACAAAAAUGUUAGGCAUAGUUAACAAAUCUAUUGGAGUUAAAGGAUUUAAUCCAUACAAAAUUUCAAAUGGAUCACAAUUCGAUGUGCUGUCAACAACCAUAUUGUAAGCAAACUCAAUAUGAUGUAAACAUAAUUCUUGGAUAGCCGUCACCUUUUCAUAAUCUACAUGAACUCCUUUGGCACUUACCACAAAACACAAGAAUGCAAUUUGUUCAGUACAAAAUGUGCAUUUCUCAAGAUUAGCAUACAACUUUUCUGUUCUAAGAACAUUUAAAACAGCACACAAAUGUUCCUCAUGUAAUUCCAAACUAGUUCUAUAGAUCAAGAUAUCAUCAAAAUACACUACAAAAAAUUAGCCCAAAAAUUCUCUCAAAACAUAGUUCAUUNNNNNNNNNNNNNNNNNNNNNNNNNNNNNNNNNNNNNNNNNNNNNNNNNNNNNNNNNNNNNNNNNNNNNNNNNNNNNNNNNNNNNNNNNNNNNNNNNNNNGACAGUUUUCCAUUUAUUCCCAUUCCUAAUCCUAAUUGAUGGGUAACCACUUCUUAAGUCAAUUUUUGAAAAUAUACAACCACCAUACAAUUCAUCCAUUAAAUUAUCUAACUUGGGAAUAUGGUGUUUAUACUUAAUGGUAAUGUUAUUGAGUGCUCUGCAAUUUGUGCACAUCCUCCAAUAACCAUCAUUUUUAGGCACCAAAAUUACUGGAACAGCACAUGGGCUCAUGGUCUCUUGUACCCAUCCUUUGUUCAUCAAUUCUUCAACUUGAGUUUGGAUUUCCUGCAAAACAGAAUCAACACUAGGAAGCAAAUUAAUUUGGUUAGAAUGGUCAGCAACCAAAGUGCUGUUUUUGCAAUAAGGUAAAUAAAGAGGUUUGCUAGAAAGUAGCAACUUCUUCACUUUAUUCACUUUCAGUAAUCCACUCAUUUUUCUCUCAUGUGUUUCUUUCUUUUUAAGUGUUUCACUCUUGCUCUGUUUAGGUGUUUCACUCAUCUCUCUUUUCUCUUGGACUCUCUUUUCUCUCAAUUUGAUUUGAUCCUUACACACCUCUCUAGGAGAUAAGGGUUUGAGAAUGAUCUUCUUAUUAUUCUGCAUGAAAGAGAUUUUAUUGGUGAAACCAUCAUGAAUAGCCUUGGUGUCAAACUGCCACGGCCUCCGUAACAAAAUGUGAUUUGCCUCCAUUGGAACCACAUCACACAAGAGAUUGUCAUUAUAUUGUCCUAUGAAUAUGUGCACUUCCACUUGCUUACUCACUGUCAUCUCUCCAUCUUCACUAAGCCAUUGAAGCUUGUAUGGCAUUGGGUGCGGUUUUGUCUCCAAAUUCACUUUGGUAACUAGUCUUGAACUUGCUACAUUGGUGCAACUUCCUCCAUCAACUAUGAGUGAACAUAUUUUCCCUUGAAUGGAACAUCUAGUAUGGAAAAUAUUUUCCCUUUGGGUUUGGUCCAAAGCUUGCAUUUUGCUUCCUAAAAGCCUUCGAAUCAUCAACAAAUCACCCUCCAAUGUAUCCAACUCCACCUCUACCUCAUCCUUCUCUUCUUCACUUAAAGGUUCAUUGACUAUUUGUGUCUUUGAUAAACUGAUCAUAUUCUCUUUUUGUUGGACAUUCUGAAGCAUAAUGUCCUCUUCCCAAGCAUUUGAAACAUUUUACCUCACUUGUUUUCCUUUUAGGUGGUGAAUUACUAUAUCUAUGAGGUGACUUCCCACUUGAAGAUGUGACUAAACUUGAGGGAACUCCUUUAUCCUUCAUCGCCUUAUCCUUCCAAUUGAAAUUUUUAUUAUUUUUAGAACUCCUCAUGAUUCCCUUCCUCUUGAGUUGUUGUUCUACUUGGUUAGUCUUGUGCAACAACUCUUUCAUGUCAACAUACUCUUGCAGGUCCACAACAUCCUUAAUAUCAUGAUUGCUUCGUUUUCUUCAUUUUUUCCAGCUCUAAUCAUGGUCACCUCCAUCUCUUUAAAAUACUCUUCCACACUUCUAUUCCCUUGAGUCAUUCUUUGAAGUUUGAGUUGCAAAUCCCUAUUGUAGCUUGCUGGAAUAUAUCUCUUCCUCAUAAUCCUUUUCAUUUCUGUCCAAGUGUUCACCAUGGGUUCCUCAUAUUUAAUUCUCUCCAUUUGGUAUUUAUUCCACCAAGUUAAGGCAUAAUGUGAAAAUUCAGCUGUUGCCAACUUCAUCUUUUGCUCAUCAUUAUACUCACUGCAAGCAAACACAUGCUCUACUUUAAUUUCCCACUCCAAGUAAGCAUCAGGAUCACUUUUUCCAUUGGAUGUAGGAAUAUUUAAUUUUAUUCCAUCAAUUCUCAGAGUUCUUUGUUCUCCCUCAUUUUCUCUUCUCCUCCUCCUAUCUCCCCCUCUAUUUUCUGGAUUUACUUGUUGUGCUUGCUCCAUUUGAUCCAACCUCUCAUGGAGUCCAUCACUUUGUUGUUUCAUUAUCCUUUCCAAGUGUUGUGUUAAGGCUUGCAUCUGUACUUGAGAAAGUCCACUAUCUAACGAUUCCCCUGCCAUGCUCAAGUAAACAGAUUACAAAUAACAAUAAGUUUGGGCCUCACACCACUUUCUCACGUGUUUACACUCAACACUCGUGUUUUACACAAUAAGGUUUUUUUAAUGAUCACACUGCCUUUUACCACUCUUUCUCUACUUAAGGUUCUUACAAGAAUCAAGAAAUCAAUAAUCCAUAAUCACUUUCACUAUAGCAAUCAGAAUCAAUUAAAAAUAAUAGUAAAGAACAAAAUAGUGAAGAACAAUUUCACUAUCAACAAACAAGCAAAACAAUUAAAAAAAAUAGCAAGCAAAACAAUAUAUAGAGAAAAUAAAAUAUGUAGACAUGACACUUUUAGAACUUUUAUCAAACACCAAGUAUGCACUGAAUAAAAGCUAUUUUUUUUUCUGUUUUCCUCUUGUUCUUUUUUUUUCUAUUUCUGUUUUCCUCUUGUUCUUUUUUUUUUCUAUUUCUGUUUUCCUCUUCUUCUUCCUUUUUUUUUCUUUUUUUCUAUUUCUUUUUUUUUUUCUGUUUCUUCUUUCGUUUAAAAAAAAAAUGAACAGUACCUGUGAACAGUAACCGUGAACAGUGCCCCUGUGAAAAGUACCAGUGAACAGUACAAUGUGAAUAGUACAAUGUGAACAGUAAUGAGGAGAAAAAAAAACAGGCACAAUUAUAUUAUGACUCAAACCUUUGCUUUGAGUACCAACUGAUAUGAAUCCAAAUAGAAAUGACAGUAAAAUUGGGAAUUUAGGGUUACGGAACGGAAUAAAUUAAAAACAAUAACAAUAGAAACCUGGAUAAAGGAAGACGCCACAAACAAAGUUUGAUCAGCCUAAGGAUGAUCACUACAAGAAUUGGUGGAUUCUUGAUAAGAUCGCAAGAUGCAGGAAAAUAUCUAGCAGAGAAACACUCUCUAAAUUGUCAAAAUAUUUGUCCCCCUAUUCUGAGUUCCAACAGUGUAUAAAUUACAAAUUUAGCUAGAGGUCUUUUCUUGUUUGUAAGAAAAUAAGAUGAUACUACAAUCCUUAUAUUUGAAGAAUGAUUAUUUGUCCCAGUGGUUAGAUUGAUACUCCAGUUGGAUGUACGCAUCACCAAACCCGAGGCCUCACUAACACUCUCAUAAUUAACACUCUCAUAAUUGAUCACCUUAAGUUUGUUUCUUCUUGUUAUGGUCUUGAAAAGAGAUUAUAGUAACUUGGAUUCGAUCUUUUCUUUCAUCAAACAUAUAGUAAUAAUGGAUUUUUUAUUCUUUAUAUUUCUUUUUGUUAACAAACUAGAUACAUUUUUUUUUUCAUAAGCAAAAUAAUUUAGUAGUAAAAGAAAGCUAAACUUGAGCAUAACAUGUACGGUAAAGAAUUGAAAUGACUCCAUUAAUCAUUGAGGAUCAUAAACAAAAACGAUCAUGGUAUACAAAAUAACAACUAAUCCAAACCUAGAAAUAACAUAAGCACAAACUCUGAACUCUUAUUCUUUUAUCUCCUUCACAAACCUCUGAAGGUUCUCAUAAGAUGUACCUCCUUUUGCUAUGUUCUUCAUCACUUUCUCCUUCAACACCACACACCUACAUUUUAUGCUCUCAUCAUUAAAUAAUUGUUCCACCUUGGUUUUCAGCUCCCCGCGUGACACAACUCCAUUUUGAUCUUUGUCAAUUCCCAACCCAACCUUUAACUCAUCACAAAUAUGUGUUUUGUUGUAAGGUUGGUCUCCAAAGUAUGGCCAACACAACAAAGGUACCCCAUUGGACAAACCUUCCAUGGUAGAAUUCCAACCACAAUGAGUGACAAAACAUGCUAUGGCAGGGUGACUUAAAACCUUUUGUUGAGGUGCCCAAUUAACUAUCUUACCCUUAUGCCCUUGGAAUUCAUGAGGGUAUGCCAUUUUAUUGUCUUCUCUUAUAACCCAAAGAAAAGGUCUAUUGGUGAGGUCUAGUCCAAGGGCAAGUUCAUUGAAUUGGUUUUGGUCAAAAAGAGUGAAACUACCAAAGGCAACAUACAACACAGAACCAUCAGCUUGUUCAUCUAGCCAACUCAUGCAAGAGAGAUCUUCUUCCCAGAAUUGUCCCAAUGAUCUUAGAGUUGCAUUAGUUUUGUAAUAAUGAUCACUUCUCAACAAUGGACCAAUUGGAAGGAGACUCGGAACAAGGGUUAAUACCUGAGGUUCAAGUUCAUAUGCAGUAUCACAAAGCCACCAUUGGGUCAAAUUUAAAGCUGGAAAACAGUGAUGCACCAAGAAAUUAAGGUAAUGAGAACCACCCAUAUGUCUAGCCAUGUGAAACCAAAAAAGGGUUCUUGUGUCCAUUUCUGGCAUACUUGGUGAUAAUUGAAUUGUCCUUUUU
rnacentral:lncRNA from 1 species